rnacentral:rRNA from 1 species
GCUGCGCCGAAAAUGUAUCGGGGCUAAACGAUUCACCGAAGCUGUGGAUGCAUACCUAGGGUAUGCGUGGUAGGAGAGCGUUCUAAUUGCGUUGAAGUCAGAUCGUAAGGACUGGUGGAGCAAUUAGAAGUGAGAAUGCCGGUAUGAGUAGCGAAACAUGGGUGAAAUCCCGUCCACCGUAUGACUAAGGUUUCCUGAGGAAGGCUCGUCCGCUCAGGGUUAGUCGGGACCUAAGCCGAGGCCGAUAGGCGUAGGCGAUGGACAACAGGUUGAUAUUCCUGUACCACCUCCUCACCGUUUGAGAAAUGGGGGGACGCAGUAGGAUAGGGUAAGCAGAGCGUUGGUUGUCUCUGUUCAAGCAGUAAGGCGUGUGUGUAGGCAAAUCCGCACACUGUAACGUUGAGCUGUGAUGACGAGUCCGUAUGGACGAAGUUCCUGAUUUCACGCUGCCAAGAAAAGCCUCUAUCGAGGUGAGAGGUGCCCGUACCGCAAACCGACACAGGUAGUCGAGGAGAGAAUCCUAAGGUGUGCGAGAGAACUCUCGUUAAGGAACUCGGCAAAAUGACCCC